rnacentral:rRNA from 1 species
CAGCCGCCGCGGUAAUACGAAGGGGGCUAGCGUUGUUCGGACUUACUGGGCGUAAAGGGCGCGUAGGCGGGCGAAUCAGUCAGGGGUGAAAUCCCAAGGCUCAACCUUGGAACUGCCUUUGAUACUGUUUGUCUUGAGUUCGAGAGAGGUAAGUGGAACUGCGAGUGUAGAGGCGAAAUUCGUAGAUAUUCGCAAGAACACCAGUGGCGAAGGCGGCUUACUGGCUCGAAACUGACGCUGAGGCGCGAAAGCGUGGGGAGCAAACAGGAUUAGAUACCCCUGUAGUCCCUGUCUCUUAUAC